rnacentral:lncRNA from 1 species
GAGCUGGGCGGUCUUCUCGUCAGAGUGGGGACUGGUGAGAGCGACCUCCCCGCCAGGUCCUGUGUGUUGCCGGCUGAAGAAGGGUAGCUGAAAAAUUCAGACCCAGCACAGUGUUUAUGUUGGUCAAAAAUAGAAAACUAUGGCGCGGCCGAGGCGGGAGGACCCUUCAGGCCAAGAGCAGCCUAGCAACAUGGCGCAACCCCAUCUCUGUAGUCCUACCUCAGCCCCCCAGCUACUUGAACCCAAAGAUUCAAGGCUCCAGUGAGCUAUGAUCCCACCACAGCAUUCCAGCCUGCGAGAUUGAGAUGAUGAUUAUUCCCCACCUUCUAAGAGACAAAGACCAACGAGCCACCACAGCCACCAGUCCCAGAACCCGCCAAUGCUGGGGAACGGAAAAUGAGGGAGUUCAACUCUGAGAAAUGGAAUAAUCGUAUCGCUGAUCUAUGUAAACAAAUUGAAGAAUUGUCUGAAAGAAAAUAUGGUAUGUCUAAACUGGAAAAGUCCUGUAAUCUUAUGUUCAUGGGCGUUUACACAAUGGAGUUACUGUUCAUCAUGGGGGUACCGUGGACAAGCCCAGGGCUGCCGGCGAGUCAUGCCAUCCUUACACGUUUCUCCUUGUAAGACAUGAACUUAUGAAUUCAACAGGUGAAGAUUUACAACUUGAUAAAUCAGCUUUGUGAGCUCGAGCUGUAAAAGCCAAAGGUCCGGUGAUGAUCCCAUACCCUUUUUUCCAGUCUCAUGUUGAAGAUUUUUAUGUAGAAGGCCUUCCCAAAGGAAUUUUUUUUUUUUUUUUGAGAUGGAGUUUUCACUCUUAUCGCCCAGGCUGGGGGGCAAUGGCGCAACCUUGCUGGUCACUGCAACCUCUGCCUCCUGGGUUCAAGAAAUUCUCCUGCCUUAGCCUCCCAAGUCACUGGGAUUACAGGUGCCCACCACCACACGAGGCUAAUUUUUGUAUUUUUAGUGGAGAUGGGGUUUCACCAUGUUGGCCGGGCCAGUCUCGAACUCCUGACGUCAAGUGAUCUUCCCGCCUCGACUCCUGACAUCAAGUGAUCUUUCCGCCUCGGCCUCCCAGAGUGCUGAGAUUACAGACGUGAACCCAUGCCUGGCCAGGAAUUUUGUUUUUCAGGAAGGCUUUCUACUAAUGGAAUUCCUGGCCUUGAGAGGAUGUUACUUUCGAAGGAAAGGAUUUUUUUGUUAUUAAAAGAGCCACCUAAGCUGAAGAUUCCCUUGAGAACAAGUACUGUCCUGCGGUUUCAUGGCCCUUCUUCCAUUUGUGGUUCUUGCGAAGUGGAAUUUAAAUGACAUCUUAUCAAGAUGGAUAAACCCUAGUUUCCCAGUGCUGGAAUAUAGAAAAUGGAUGGACAAGUAAAUCCCACUCAGCACCCAUAGUCCAGGCAUGGGGACCUCAACACACCUGAGCCCCAGACAUCACCUUUCAUUCUGGACCUACCAUGAAAGACUUCUGAAUCCAGGAAGAGAAACUGACUGGGCAACAUGUUAUUCAGAAACAGGACCUUGCCCUGUCACUCAGGAUGGAGUUCAGUGGUCCUAUCAUGGCUCAUUAUAGCCUCAAACUCCCAGGCUCAAGCAAUCCUACCAUGUCAGCCUUCCCAGUAGCUGGGACUACAGGCUGGAGUACAGUGGCACAACCUCUGCUCACUGCAGCCUCCACCUGCCAGGCUCAAGCAAUUCUCCUGCCUCAGCCUCCCGAGUAGCUGGGAUUACAGGAAGUGACCGCACAAUGACUCAAGCUACCACAUACUGUUGAUUGUGAAAUGCCAGUUGAAGCAUAUGUCCUGCGAGCUUAGGGGUGCUACAAGUUGACCACUGCAGCAGUAAAGAUGACUCUGAAGAAUGGCGUGGGAUGGAUCCUUUCGAAUGCAUUUGAGCAGCGGUCUCCAACCACAGGGCCACAGAGCUGGAGCUGGAUCUACCAUGAAAGACUUCUGAAUCCAGGAAGAGAGACUGACUGGGCAACAUGUUAUUCAGGGUCUCCCUCUGUUGUCCAAGGCUGGAGUGUAGUAGUGCUAUCACAGCUGACUGCAGCCUCAACCUUCCAGGCUGAAGCGAUCCUCCCAUCUCAACCUCCCACGUGGCUGAGACUACAGGUGCUUGCCACUAUGCCCAACUAAUAUUUGGAAUUUUUGUAUACGUGGAUUCCAGAGGGGUGACAGCGAAACGUGGGACCAUCCAGUUGCAGGAAAACAAGCUUAACACGCCCACUGAUUCUACAUUAUGCUCCUACCUCCUGGCAGCCUCUCCAGGCCCAGAACUUUCUCCAGUCAGCCUCUACAGACCAAGCUCAUGACUCACAAUGGCCUAUUUAGGCCCAUACCCUACGUCACGGCAGUCUCCGCAGAUGAGGCUACUGCCUCACAACAGCCUCCACAGGCACAGCUCCAUCGUUACAAUGGCCUCUUUAGACCCAGCUCCUGCCUCCCAGCCUUCUCUCCAGGCCCUGAACUUUCUCAAGUCGACCUCACCAGGCCCAGCUCAUGCUUCUUUGCAGCCUCUCCAGGCCCAGCUCCUGCAUCUUGGUGGCCCCUCCAGGCCCAGCCUCUGCCUCCCGUCGGCCUCUACAGUCCCAACAUCUGUCUCACAGCAGAUUCUUCAGGCCCAGCAUCUGCCUCACUGUGGACCCCCCAAGCCAAGCUCCCAACCUUUCAGCAGCUUCUACACACCCAGCUCCUGCCACCCAGUGGCUUCUUUAGGCCAAGCUCAUGCUUCACAAGGGCCUUUCCAGGCCCAACUUUUGUCUCAUGGCAACCUUCCCUGGCCAGAUUCCUGCCUGUCUCCCAGCAGCCUAGACAGGCCCAGGUCUUGCCUCACACUGGCCUCUCUACAUCCAGCUUAUGCCUCACGGUGGCCUCUCCAGGCCCAACUCCUGUCCCAGGACGUCAUCUCCGGGCCCAAAACUUACUCAAGUCAGACUCUCUAGUCCCAACUGCUGCCUCCUGGUGGCCUAUGAAGGCCCAAAAUCUCCUCAAGUUGGCCUCUCCAGGCCCAGCUCCUGCCUCCUGUCAGCGUCUAGAGGCCCAACCUCUGCCUCAUGGGGGCUUCUCCAGGCCCACCUCUUCCUCUUGGCUGGGUCUACAGGCACAACUGCUGCCUCACAACAGCCUUUUUUGGCCCAGUUCCUGUCCAGCUCAUGGCGGCCAAUGUAGGCCCAAAACUUCCUCAAGUCAAACUCUCCAGGCCCACCUUCUGCUUCCCGGUGGCAUGAACCGGCCCAGCUUUGACUUGAGAACAGCCUCUGCAGGCCCUGCUCUUGCCUCCCAGGGGCUUUUUCCAGGCCCAGCUCUUGCCUCAUGGCAGCUGCCCCAGGCCGAAUUUCUGCCUGCCUGCCAGCAGCCUCAACAGGCACAGCUCCUCCCUCACAGUGGCCCAUUUAGGCCCAACUCAUGACUGUCAGGCCAUUUCCAGGCCUAGUGCCUGCCUCGUGGCUGACUCUUGAAGCCCAAAACUUCCUCAAAUCAGCCUUUUGCCCAACUUCUGUCUACUGUCGGACUCUACAGGCCAGCCUCUGCCUCACAGUGGACCCUCCAGACCCAGAUGGUGUCUCACUGUGGCAUCCUCAGGUGAAGCUCCUGCCUUUCGGCAGCCUCUCCAGGCCCAGCUCCUCCUGCCUCCCAGUGGCCUCUUUCGGCCCAGCCCAGCUCAUGCCUCCCGGCGGCCUUCCCAAGCCCCGCUUUUGACUUUCCACCGAAAGUCCCAGCCUCCUGCCUCCCGAAGGCCUGCACAGGCCCAGCCUCUGCCUCACAGCGGACUCUCCUCGCCCAGCUAGCUGUCGCCUCACUGCGGCCUCCCGAGUCCAAAGUUCCUGCCUCUCGGCCGCUUCGGCAGGCCCAGCUCCCGCCUGCCAGUGGCCUCUUCAGGCCCAUGGGGCUCAUUCCUCACAACGGCCUUUCCAGGCCCAGUUUUUCCCUUCCGGCGGCCUCUCCGGGCCCAGAACCUCCUCAAGUCGGCCUCUCCAGACCCACUUGCAUCCUCCGGGCGUCCUCUCCGGGCCCAGCUCUUCUUCCUGGUUGCGUUUCCAGGCCCGACUCCUGCCUCUCAACAACCUCUUUGGACUCAGUGCCUACCCAUCUCCUGGCGGCAUUGGUCGGCCCACAGCUUCCUCAAGCCAAGCUCCCGAGGCCCAGGUCAGGCCUCACGGUGGCCUCUCCAGGAUGAGCUGCUGCCCUCCGAUGGCAUCUCCAGGCCCCAAAUGGUCUCCGGUCGGUGGGCUCCUCCAUGCCACUGCUGCAUGCCACUGCUUGGGCCUCCAUCCCAGCGACUGCUGCAGGCCCAAGUUGUCCUGAAGUCGGCCUCUCCCGGCCCUGCCUCCCAGCAAGUAAGCAAGCUCUUUUGGCUCAACUGCCCAGCUCCCAACCGCCUUUCUAGGCCCCGAACUUUCUGCAGCCAAGCUCUGAGGGCCCACCUCCUGCCUCCCGGUGGCCUGUACAGGCCCAGCACUGGUUGGAGAACAGCCUCUGCAGGCCCCGCCCUUGCCUCCCAGGUGCCUCUCCAGGCCCAGCUCUUGCCCCCACGGCGGCCUCCUGGGGCCAAGUCCCUGCCUGCCUCCCAGCAGCCCGCGUGCGGCCCAGCUCCUCCCUCACGGUGGCCUGUUGAUGCCCAACUCAUGCCUCUGGCACCCUGCCCAGAGGCGUGAGCCCCUUGCCUCACACCGGCUCCUCCCACGCGGACAGAGGUCAGCGUGAGCCCUUGCCUCAACAGGCCACCGUGAGGGAGGAGCAGGGUCGCACGCGGGCUGCUGGGAGGUAGGCAGGGACUUGGGCCUGGGAGGUCGCGGUGGGGCGAGAGCUGGGCCUGGAGACUCCCCUGGGAGGCAACAGCGGGUUUUGCAGACGCUCUUCUCCAGCCGGAGCUGGGACUGUUCAGUCACUGGGAGAAGGGAUGUGGGUCUGAAGAGCUUGGUUGCAGAAACUUCGGGGUCUACAAAGGCCGGCGGGAGCUGAGCCAAAAGAGCUUGUUUGCUGGGAGGCGGGAGAUGCAGCCAGGAGGAACAGCUGGGCCAUGCGGGAGGCAGAGGCCGGGCCUCCUCAAGUCGGCCUCUCAGACCCACUUGGCAGCCUCCCGGCGUCCUCUCCGGGCCCAGCUCUUCCUCCCGGCUGCGUCUCCAG